rnacentral:rRNA from 1 species
GCAAGUCGAGCGAUCCCUUCGGGGAUAGCGGCGGACGGGUGAGUAACGCGUGGGAACAUACCCAGAGGUACGGAACAACAGUUGGAAACGACUGCUAAUACCGUAUACGCCCUACGGGGGAAAGAAUUUCGCCUUUGGAUUGGCCCGCGUUGGAUUAGAUAGUUGGUGGGGUAACGGCCUACCAAGUCGACGAUCUGUAGCUGGUCUGAGAGGACGAAC